AGUGAGAAUCUUCAUGGCCGAAUAUCCAAGGUUUCCAGGGUAAAGCUGAUCUGCCCUGGGUAAGUCGGGGCCUAAGGAGAGGCAGAAAUGCGUAUCCGAUGGACAGCAGGUUGAGAUUCCUGCACUAUCUUAAAACAGAACUGUGGGGACAUUUGUGGAGAGCACAGGCGCGGAACGGAAAGCCGCGUGCA
rnacentral:rRNA from 1 species